rnacentral:rRNA from 1 species
CACCGCGGUUAUACGAGAGGCCCAAAUUGAAAGAUUUCGGCGUAAAGCGUGGUUAAGGCCAAACUAAGAAUAAAGCCGAAUGUGCUCAAAGCUGUUAUACGCACCUGAGAAUAAGAAGCCCAACUACGAAAGUGACUUUAUAAUACCUGACCCCACGAAAGCUAAGACA